UGGACAGAAAGACCCUAUGAAGCUUUACUGUAACUUGAAAUUGAAAUUGGACUUUAGUCGCGCAGCAUAGGUGGGAGGCGUUGAGCAUGUUCUUGCGGGAACAUAGGAGCCAUCAGUGAGAUACCACUCUUCUAAUGUUAGAUUUCUAACCUUGUACCAUUAUCUGGUCAAGGAACAGUUUCAGGCGGGCAGUUUGGCUGGGGCGGUCGCCUCCCAAAUGGUAACGGAGGCGUACAAAGGUUUCCUCUGAACGGAUAGAAAUCGUAUCUAGAGUAUAAAGGCAUAAGGAAGCUUGACUGUGAGACCUACAAGUCGAGCAGGGGCGAAAGUCGGUCUUAGUGAUCUGACGGUACUGAGUGGAAAGGCCGUCACUCAACGGAUAAAAGUUACUCUAGGGAUAACAGGCU
rnacentral:rRNA from 1 species